rnacentral:rRNA from 1 species
GAUCUGGCUCAGGAUGAACGCUAGCGGCAGGCUAACACAUGCAAGUCGAGGGGCAGCGGGAUGUAGCAAUACAUUGCCGGCGACCGGCGGAUGGGUGCGUAACGCGUAUGCAACCUACCUUAUACAGGGGAAUAACCUUUCGAAAGGGAGACUAACACCCCAUAGUAUUGAUUUAAGGCAUCUUAGAUUAAUUAAAUAUUUAUAGGUAUAAGAUGGGCAUGCGUAUGAUUAGCUAGUUGGUAAGGUAACGGCUUACCAAGGCGACGAUCAUUAGGGGUUCUGAGAGGAAGGUCCCCCACACUGGUACUGAGACACGGACCAGACUCCUACGGGAGGCAGCAGUGAGGAAUAUUGGUCAAUGGGCGCAAGCCUGAACCAGCCAUGCCGCGUGCAGGAAAGACGGCCUUAUGGGUUGUAAACUGCUUUUACAUAAGACUAACCGUAUAUUUGCGAAUAUACCUGAAUGUAUUAUGAGAAUAAGGAUCGGCUAACUCCGUGCCAGCAGCGGC